GAUGAAGAACGUAGCGAAUUGCGAUAUGUAAUGUGAAUUGCAGAAUUCAGUGAAUCAUCGAAUCUUUGAACGCACCUUGCACCCUUUGGCAUUCCGAAGGGUAUGCUCGUUUGAGUGUCAUUGUACUCUCACUCUCCCGAUGCUUUUGGAUCGGGAGUGGUGGACUUGGGUGUUGCUGCUUUGCUGUGGCUCGCCUCAAAUGGAGUAGUGCAACUCUUGGUUGGACAUAGUACGGCGUGAUAAGUGUCUUCGCCGGCGCCUCAUUAUAGAGGGUGGCCGAUCGGGAGCUCUGUGCUUCAAACCGUCUUCGGACAACAUCUGACAACUUGACCUCAAAUCGAGUAGGACUACCCGCUGAACUUAAGCAUAUCAAUAAGCGGAGGA
rnacentral:misc_RNA from 1 species